GUUUCUGUAGUGUAGUGGUUUUCACAUUCGUCUCACAUACGAAAAGUCCCCGGAUUGAAACUGGGCAGAAACA